rnacentral:rRNA from 1 species
UACGUAGGGUGCGAGCGUUGUCCGGAAUUAUUGGGCGUAAAGAGCUCGUAGGCGGUGUGUCACGUCGGCCGUGAAAACCUGGGGCUUAACUCUGGGCGUGCGGUCGAUACGGGCAUCACUAGAGUUCGGCAGGGGAGACUGGAAUUCCUGGUGUAGUGGUGAAAUGCGCAGAUAUCAGGAGGAACACCGGUGGCGAAGGCGGUUCUCUGGGCAUGUCCUGACGCUGAGGAGCGAAAGUGUGGGGAGCGAACAGG